rnacentral:pre_miRNA from 1 species
CGGGGGAUGCCGGAUCCUGGGCUGUGUCCCGGCGCCCUGUGCUGGGGGCCUGCGCUGGUGGAUUCGCAGCCCCCUCCGCGGAGCCGCCCCCG